ACAUGCAAGUCGAGCGCGAAAAGCUUUCGGGCUGAGUAGAGCGGCGGACGGGUGAGUAACGCGUAGGAAUCUACCUGGUAGUGGGGGACAACUUGGGGAAACUCAAGCUAAUACCGCAUACGCCCUAAGGGGGAAAGCGGGGGACCUUCGGGCCUCGCGCUAUCGGAUGAGCCUGCGUAGGAUUAGCUAGUUGGUGGGGUAAAGGCCCACCAAGGCGACGAUCCUUAGCUGGUCUGAGAGGAUGAUCAGCCACACUGGAACUGAGACACGGUCCAGACUCC
rnacentral:rRNA from 1 species